UUCGAUUUUUAAGGUCUGAAAAUGUCUUGAAUCCUGGAAUUUUCCAUAUGAAUGUCUUAAAUUUCAUGUGGGAUCUUAAAUUUCAUGUCCGACUCGUCAUUUUUAUUUAUUUUUUCAACCGCAAUUUGACCAGCGUAACAUUUGGGGGCAGCACUUCGUGGGUGCAACCUCCAUCAUUCCAUAGGCGACAUACGAGUAAGUGAUUGAUGAACGCGUUGCGUUGAUGGUUCGCCACCACGGCAGUUUGCGAAAUCGCAAGCAUGGGCAAAGACGAUAAAGCUGUGGACAAGACCACGAUUGUCAGGUCUCGCUAUCUUGGUUCUCAGUUUUUGAGCCCCUCAACGGCAGAAGACUUGCUGUAGCACUUUAAGGAGGGCACCAAGGAACUUAAUUUAAGGAACAUGCUUUCUGUGUCAAUGGAUGGACCCACAGUAAAUUGGAAAGUCAUGGAUCUCCUACAACUGGAACAUGCAAUAAAUUUCUGAUCCUGAUCUUUCCUA